rnacentral:rRNA from 1 species
GAUGAACGCUGGCGGCGUGCCUAAUACAUGCAAGUCGAGCGAACGGACGAGAAGCUUGCUUCUCUGAUGUUAGCGGCGGACGGGUGAGUAACACGUGGAUAACCUACCUAUAAGACUGGGAUAACUUCGGGAAACCGGAGCUAAUACCGGAUAAUAUUUUGAACCGCAUGGUUCAAAAGUGAAAGACGGUCUUGCUGUCACUUAUAGAUGGAUCCGCGCUGCAUUAGCUAGUUGGUAAGGUAACGGCUUACCAAGGCAACGAUGCAUAGCCGACCUGAGAGGGUGAUCGGCCACACUGGAACUGGGACACGGUCCAGACUCCUACGGGAGGCAGCAGUCGGGAAUCUUCCGCAAAGGGCGAAAGCCUGACGGAGCAACGCCGCGUGAGUGAUGAAGGUCUUCGGAUCGUAAAACUCUGUUAUUAGGGAAGAACAUAUGUGUAAGUGACUGUGCACAUCUUGACGGUACCUAAUCAGAAAGCCACGGCUAACUACGUG